rnacentral:rRNA from 1 species
AGUGAACGCUGGCGGUAGGCCUAACACAUGCAAGUCGAACGGCAGCACAGUAAUAGCUUGCUCUUACGGGUUGCGAGUGGCGGACGGGUGAGGAAUACAUCGGAAUCUACUCUUUCGUGGGGGAUAACGUAGGGAAACUUACGCUAAUACCGCAUACGACCUACGGGUGAAAGCAGGGGAUCUUCGGACCUUGCGCGAUUGAAUGAGCCGAUGUCGGAUUAGCUAGUUGGCGGGGUAAAGGCCCACCAAGGCGACGAUCCGUAGCUGGUCUGAGAGGAUGAUCAGCGACACUGGAACUGAGACACGGUCCUGACUCCUACGGGAGGCAGCAGUGGGGAAUAUUGGACAAUGGGCGCGAGCCUGGUCCAGCCAUACCACGUGGGUGAAGAAGGCCUUCGGGUUGUAAAGCCCUUUUGUUGGGAAAGAAAAGCAGCAGGUUAAUACCCAGCUGUUCUGACGGUACCCAAAAAAUAAGCACCGGCUAACUUCGUG